CGGACUGUAGGCUGCAACUCGCCUACACGAAGCUGGAAUCGCUAGUAAUCGCGGAUCAGCACGCCGCGGUGAAUACGUUCCCGGGCCUUGUACACACCGCCCGUCACACCAUGAGAGUCUGUAACACCCAAAGCCGGUGGGAUAACCUUUAUAGGAGUCAGCCGUCUAAGGUAGGACAGAUGAUUAGGGCGAAGUCGUAACAAGGUAAC
rnacentral:rRNA from 1 species